UACAGAGGUCCCAAGCGUUGUUCGGAUUCAUUGGGCGUAAAGGGUGCGUAGGCGGCGCGGUAAGUCGGGUGUGAAAUCUCGGAGCUUAACUCCGAAACUGCAUUCGAUACUGCCGUGCUUGAGGACUGGAGAGGAGACUGGAAUUUACGGUGUAGCGGUGAAAUGCGUAGAUAUCGUAAGGAGGACCAGUGGCGAAGGCGGGUCUCUGGACAGUUCCUGACGCUGAGGCACGAAGGUCAGGGGAGCAAACGGG
rnacentral:rRNA from 1 species